AUUGAACGCUGGCGGCAUGCCUAACACAUGCAAGUCGAACGGAGUGGCGGACGGGUGAGUAAUGUAUCGGAACGUGCCCAGUAGCGGGGGAUAACUACGCGAAAGCGUAGCUAAUACCGCAUACUAUUGGAGCGGCCGAUAUCGGAUUAGCUAGUUGGUGGGGUAACGGCUCACCAAGGCGACGAUCCGUAGCUGGUUUGAGAGGACGACCAGCCACACUGGAACUGAGACACGGCCCAGACUCCUACGGGAGGCAGCAGUGGGGAAUUUUGGACAAUGGGGGAAACCCGGAUCCAGCCAUCCCGCGUGUGCGAUGAAGGCCUUCGGGUUGUAAAGCACUUUUGGCAGGAAAGCGGUACCUGCAGAAGAAGCACCGGCUAACUACGUGCCAGCAGCCGCGGUAAUAC
rnacentral:rRNA from 1 species